ensembl:lncRNA
CACACACGGAGAUAGAGAGAGGGGGGGUGCUAGGCUAACGGUGUAGCUCAUGUAGCUGUAAACAGUUACACUCCGCCUUACCAGCCGAGUUUAAUGAAACACCUUCCCCAGGAUGGAGGCGAGAAGAUUAAAUAAACACACCGCAAAGUCAUGAGGAUGUUUACAAACGUGAACAUUUCCAAAAAAAACAAAACAAACAAGUUUUGCGACAGGACUAAGCACUUUAGUUAGCUAGCUCACGCGCUAGUUUAGAGUGUUGGAGCUAGUGACGACGUAUCGUCUAAGCUAAGCUAUCUUACUGCAUGGAAAGUAGCUCCGGGUUCACCUUUAGCACCUAGCAUGGAUUAAUUACCUCGUUAUCCACGAGUACAAUAUUAAAGAAGGAGUUUAACAGUCAGGGUUGUUGUUUUUUCCCCUGUUUCUGGGUCGGAAACUUGACUGAGGUGAGUAACUUAAUGCUGCGCUCGUGUGUCGUGCUAAGCUAGUUAUUUCCAUCUGAUCUUUUCACUGUGUUUUGUUUUGUUUUGUUACACGGUGUUUAUGACGUGCUAGCUAGCUAACAUGGUUAACUGUUAAAGGUUUAUUCACUGCUAGCUGUGCUGGAUAACUUCCCCGGUUAGCUAGCGGAGUGUUAGUUUAGCGAGUACAGCAGUAUAAACAGUAACACCUCGCUGAUUUCGGAUUAGCCGCAGAUUUAUGGUUAACUUUCAGACCUCGAGAUGGUUAGAAAGGGGUACUAACCCAGGACUUGUACUAACCCAGGACGGGUACUAACCCAGGACGGGUACUAACCCAGGACUUGUACUAACCCAGGACUUGUACUAGCGCAGGACGGGUACUAACCCAGGACUUGUACUAACCCAGGACUUGUACUAACCCAGGACUUGUACUAGCGCAGGACGGGUACUAACCCAGGACUUGUACUAGCGCAGGACGGGUACUAACCCAGGACUUGUACUAGCGCAGGACGGGUACUAACCCAGGACUUGUACUAACCCAGGACUUGUACUAACCCAGGACUUGUACUAACGCAGGACGGGUACUAACGCAGGACGGGUACUAACCCAGGACUUGUACUAACCCAGGACUUGUACUAACGCAGGACUUGUACUAGCGCAGGACUUGUACUAGUGCAGGACAGGUACUAACCCAGGACUUGUACUAACCCAGGACUUGUACUAGCGCAGGACUUGUACUAACCCAGGACUUGUACUAACCCAGGACUUGUACUAACGCAGGACUUGUACUAACCCAGGACUUGUACUAACCCAGGACUUGUACUAACCCAGGACUUGUACUAACGCAGGACUUGUACUAGCGCAGGACUUGUAUUAGUGCAGAACACUGUGAUUUGUGGUGUGUUGUGUAUGUAGGUGGCAAAGUGUCAUUUAAAAAUAAUGUUUUUUUUUUUUUGAUUAAUGGUGUAUUUUAUUGUAGUAAUAAUCCUGAAACCACUCACACAUACAUGGAGCAUUAAUCCAGAUUAAUUUAGUCCUAAAUUCAGUGUGACAGUGUUGUGUGUGUGUGUUGUUAGUAAAUAAAACGUUUAGAGAUGAAUGUGUUUGGGGAGAUAUGUUAAGUGUGGUGGUAGGUGUGAUGGUGUGAUGGUAAGUCUGAUGGUGUGGUGGUAUGUAUGAGGGUAGGUAUGGUGGUGUGAUGGUAGGUGUGAGGGUAGGUGUAGUGGUGUGAAGGUAGGUGUAGUAGUGUGAUGGUAAGUGUGAAGUAGGUGAAGUAGUGUGGUGGUAGGUGUGAGGGUAGGUAUGAUGGUGUGGUGGUAGGUGUGAGGGUAGGUGUAGUGGUGUGAGGGUAGGUAUGAUGGUGUGGUGGUAGGUGUGAGGGUAGGUGUAGUGGUGUGUAUUGUAAGCGUGAUGGUAAUGUUGAAGAUAGGUGUGGUAGGUGUGGGGUAGGUAUGAUGGUGUGGUAGUAGGUGUGAAGGUGAGGGUAAGUGUGAGGUUAGGUGUGAUGGUAGGUGAAGGUGAGGGUAAGUGUGAGGUUAGGUGUGAUGGUAGGUGAGGGUAAGUGUGAGGUUAGGUGUGAUGGUAGGUGUAGGGGUGUGAGGUGAGGGUAAAAGUAAGGAAUAAUCCCCGUGUGUGGUGCUGUUACAGGAAACUAAUCACCCCACAGUGGAGGGAGUCUCAGCAUGUCCUGAUGUGUUUAUUCCUCUUACACCACUGCAGUCCAUCAUUACAGUUCUUUAUUAAUUAAAGACCGACACCUCAUACUUUUAUCCGUUUAUAGUUACAUCCUCACUUGUUAUAGCAGCGAUAAACACUUUCUCUUUUCCUCUCUCUCUCUUCUUUUUCCUCUCUUCUCUCUUUCCUGUUUUUUCCUCUCUUCUCUCUUUUCCUGUUUUUUCCUCUCUCCUCCUUUUCCGCUCUCUUUUUCCUCACUUAUCUCUUUUCCUCUCUCUUUUUCCUCUCUCUUCUUUCUUUUCCUCUCUUUCUUUUAUCCUCUCACUUCUCUUUUU